rnacentral:rRNA from 1 species
CCUACGGGGGGCUGCAGUGGGGAAUAUUGCGCAAUGGGCGAAAGCCUGACGCAGCGACGCCGCGUGAGGGAUGAAGGUCUUCGGAUCGUAAACCUCUGUCAGCAGGGAAGAACGGUCACUGUGCUAAUCAGCCGUGAAUUGACGGUACCUGCAAAGGCAGCACCGGCUAACUCCGUGCCAGCAGCCGCGGUAAUACGGAGGGUGCGAGCGUUAAUCGGAAUUACUGGGCGUAAAGCGCUCGUAGGCGGUAUGUCAAGUCAAGGGUGAAAUCCCCGGGUUCAACGUGGGAACUGCCUUGGAAACUGGCAAACGGGGGGGGGUGAGAGGAUAGUGGAAUUCAGGUGUAGGAGUGAAAUCCGUAGAUAUCUGGAGGAACAUCAGUGGCGAAGGCGACUAUCUGGCACAUAACUGACGCUGAGGAGCGAAAGCGUGGGUAGCAAACAGGAUUAGAUACCCCAGUAGUC